rnacentral:rRNA from 1 species
UACAGAGGGGGCAAGCGUUUAUUCGGAAUUAUUGGGCGUAAAGGGCGCGUAGGCGGCUUUUCAAGUGACGGGUGAAAGCCCUCGGCUUAACCGAGGAACUGCCUGUCAGACUGGAAGGCUUGAGACCGGGAGAGGUGAGUGGAAUUCCCAGUGUAGCGGUGAAAUGCGUAGAUAUUGGGAGGAACACCAGUGGCGAAGGCGGCUCACUGGACCGGAACUGACGCUGAGGCGCGAAAGCGUGGGGAGCAAACAGG